UUUGAUCAGUCACCACGCAAGGUAGAAUGAGCUGGAUCGCUGGGAAUAUAGACAUCCUUUCUUUAUCAUUAUUGUUGUCAUUGGUUGAUUUGUUUCUUUGAUUUUGUUUCAUUUGCUUACUUGUUCAAAGCAUUGAGGAUCAUUGGCAGGUGAUGAGGCCCGGAAGGAAGAAGCAGCUCAGCCAGGUGAAUGAGGUGGAGUGGAACUGCUUCAAGGUCCAGGGGACGUUCUGAGAGGCAGGGCUUCCUCUGAGCUUCUUGAACCAACAAGUGUCCCAUGCCUGGAGAGCUGCAGCUAUAGGAGCACAGAUCCCAUUGCUUGGGAGGACAUUGUUCCAGGAAUUCCCUCCUUCUUUACCCUGGUCAUCCACCUCCAAGACAGCCCCUGAUGAACCUCAGC
ensembl:lncRNA